CAAUAGCGUAUAUUAAAGUUGUUGCAGUUAAAAAGCUCGUAGUUGAAUUUCUGUCAGGAGUGACCGGGCCUUUGGAUGAACUUCCAUUGUUUUUUGCUCUGUUUGUCAUCUCUAGACAUCCUAAAUUACAUUUCUUGUAAUUUUCUUUUACUGUUAGCAAAAUAGAGUGUUCCAAGCAAAGCGUAGUUUUGAAUACAUUAGAAUGGAAUAAUAAGAUAGGACUUUGGUGCUAUUUUGUUGGUUUGCACACCAAGGUAAUGAUUAAUAGGGACAGUUGGGGGUAUUCGUAUUUAAUUGUCAGAGGUGAAAUUCUUGGAUUUAUGAAAGACGAACUACUGCGAAAGCAUUUACCAAGGAUGUUUNCAUUAA
rnacentral:rRNA from 1 species